UAGAUAUAAUACGUUAUUUAAUAACCACUGCUCAAUUUACGGGAUAAGGGCUGUUUAUCUAUACCAGAGCAUAGAGAAAUCAAAAUAGAGGAGCUUUGAAUACUAACAUGGCAUCAUUAGAAGAUAAAGUUAUCAUUAUAACAGGUGCCAGUGCAGGGGUAGGAAAAGGAAUCGCUGUUUAUCUGGCUCAGUUUAAACCCAGGCUUGUUCUAGCAGCUAGGAACAUCACAGGAUUAGAAGAAACAAGCACACAAUGCCAGGAGGCCGGUUUAGCCAAGGACAAGAUUCUGACAGUAGUAUGUGAUGUCAGUAAAGAUGGCGAUCUACGGAAUUUAGUUGAUACGACAAUAAAAACAUUUGGUUCUAUUUAUGGUCUGGUGAACAACGCAGGAAUUGGAUAUUACAGUAAUGUAGAAAACAGUGAUAUGAAUGAUUAUGAUAAUCUUAUGAAAGUAAAUGUAAGGGCGCCGUUUUAUCUAUCCAAACUAUG